AUGCUGCGCUGUCGCCCCAGGGUGGGGUUGGGUGUCUUGGGGAGGGGGAUGGGCUCCCUCAGCGCCCCCCGCAGGUGGCCCCGCCUCUCCUGGAUCACCUGUCGGAUACUGCGGACCCACUCCUGCUUCAGCUCCAGCGACGACGCCUGCGGAGGGAGAGAGAGUGACGAGGUGAACAAACAAGCAAACCUUUAUCGACAGGUCAAACAACGAGGUGAAGUUACUCACUUUCAGCACCGUCUUGUUGUCGGACGUCGGCGUUCGUCCGACCCACAGAGCAAACUUACAGGGGUCGCCCUCGAUGUGCUCUGUCACACCGAGCUCCGAGGUCUGACGGAGCGACAGGAAGCAAACAGGUAUUUGGUUCGUCCAGACGAGUCCUUGAUUUCCUUGCUGAAGAUGAGCGACAGCUCGAACAGGAAGAGAUGUCGGUCGCGUCCCUUCCUGAUCAGAGACUUCGGCUCCCAGACCGGGAAGGAGUCCUGGAGGAGGAGCUCACCCUGGACCUCCAGACCCUCCUCCAGACCUGACAGUGAAAUGAACAGAUGUCCUGGAUGUUUCCGAACACGAUGUCGUCCUUGUUGUUGAGACCUGACGGGACGUCCUCUGAGCCGCUCGUCAUCUCCCACAGGUACGUCUGCACCAGGAUACAGUGUUACCAUUACGUUCUUGCUGUCACACGAGGAUAAACUCUGAAUCUCAACUGAAGCCGACAUGAACAUAACGUCCAGAUGAAUCUCACAUUAAAUGAAAAUAUCACCAUGUACAACCUUCAUCUGCAUGUGAUAUGAUCGAAUGGUCCAUAGGAUUUACUAAUUUGAUCUUUUGGUAAGAUUUUGGUACUACAUGGAAAAAUGUAGUGACAUAUGUCACAACGCAGUAUUAUAGAAUAUAUAAAUACAGUGGUAUUAAUGUUACUGUGAAGUUUACCUCAAUACACUCCUGCAGAUCUCUGACAUAAACUCUCUCUGUCUGAAGGAGCUCUGCCAUGAUGUACCUGAAAACACAAGUACACACAAACAGAGUUGUUAUCAGUGGAUAUACAUCAGUACCUGUAGUACUAGUACUAAUAGUAAUACUACUCACUCUUUCUUGCGAGCGGAGCGUCUCUUCUCGUCGCUGACCUGGUGGCUGGGGUCGGACAGGUUGACCUCGGGGUCGGAGUCAGACAGACUGUUGGGGAUCAGCUCCAGCUCCAGGUCCUUAUUGUUCUAUCAGGGCCACCGUACGUUAAAGUCAGUCGCUGUCAGUCUUACACUUACACCAGUUAAAUAUCCACACACAUUUUAACUCUACCUGUGAGCAGCCUCCUAGCGCCGUCUCCAGCAGGUGGCGGUACUGUCCCAUCCUGAAGGUGAAGUCGCGGUAACGCUUGUCGACGGUGGAGACGCAGCGGCGGAGCUCAUUGCGGUGGGCGUGGCCUUUAGCCAGCAUGCUCUCAGCCAGCUGGAUCAGCAGGUGAACCUUCUCCUGGGUGUGCUGACAGAAAUCAUUUCAAGUUUUAUAUAUAGUUAUUGACCGUUUCAUAUACAGUCUCUGAUCAGCGAUAUUGAUCGUGUAGAGUUCUGUUUUUUUCACCUUGGCAGAAACACAGAACUCUCUGUGUUGGUUCAACAGUUCUUGAGUCUCGGCCAUAUUUGCCCCCGGCGACGUGUGCGUGGUGAGGUAGUGGUCACCUGACUGCUGCAGCCAAUCCAGAGCCUGGAACAAAAGGACGCGUUAAGCCUCAGUCAAAAUUUCUCAAUACAAUUUUAAGGUGUUUCUACUUGAGUAUUUACAUUUUAUGCUACUUCUAUCUCUCUGGUCCGUCUUGAAUAUAAACAGUUAAAUAUUAAAGAUGAGUAUGUGACUGCCUAUCCACCAAUAGGAAUGAGUCGAUUUUCUACCUGCUGGGUGUGGCUCUGGAACAUCAGAUACUGCUGGCACUGAUCCAGUCGACGCUUCUUCAACGUCCAGAAAUGAAGGACUCUGUUUUCUCUCUGCAGCAGCUCACUGAGUAUACCUGCACACAAACGGAAAUUAACUCUUUAACAUCCACAUAUAUGUAUAAACAAAUUAACCGUGGCGUUCCUCAGGGCUCCAUCCUGGCUCCACUCCUCUUCUCUAUUUACUCUGACCAUGUAAAUGUGUGUGUGUGUGUGUGUGUGUGUGUGUGUGUGUGUAUGUGUGUGUGUGUUUGUGUGUGUGCUUAUUCACCUUUGACCUGUUGCUCCGGUACCCUGGAGUGCCCGGUGACCUCGGUAACCCCGGAGACGGUGACGCUGUGGCCAGAUAUGUUCGCCAUGGUGACGCUGUUGCGAUGGAUGUACUUAAGGAAAACCUCAGCAUUUCGUCUGGCCAGCGUGCAGGCCUGUUGCCAUGGAAACAAAACAGUCAGAGAUCCCCAUACAUUAGUUCAUUGACACUAAUGAAUGCUGAGUUUGAUAUAAAUUUUUUUGGGGCCUCGUCACCUUUAGGAACGCCUCCUUCUGCUCCAUGUGUUUAUUGACGAGCGGCAGCAGCAGCUCCUGGUUGCCGCUCUCCUCCUCCACACCAGUCCUCCUCCCGACGGUACUCCUGCUCCAGACUCUCAAGCACCCCACACACCUAAGACACAGACAGACAGACAGGUGAGGAGAAAGACAGACAGGACGGGUCAGGGGACAGACUGACAGAGAGACAGACAGUGUUACCUGCUGGGACGUCCUGUAGAAAGCCGCGGAGGCGUUGACUAGUUUGAGUCGGUCCUCGAUCCUGAGCAUCAGCGUCUGCCAGUGCAGCGCCACCGUCUGUGCACAAGACCUCACUGCGUCCGGAUCAUAGUGACCUGACCUGAGGGCGGAGGGGCGAGGUCAGAGGUCACAUGGUUAGGUUCUAGGUGAAGAUUAACCUGAAGGAAAUAAAUCUGACAUAAUCACCUAAAAUCUGUAACCACGUUACCAACAUGUUUGGAAACAGAAAAAUAAAAUACUAAUGUUGAACGAUUCCUUUAAGCUUUAACUACCAUUUAGAUAUGUGGUAAUAAAGCUAAAGUCAUUUUAGCUUGCACUGCUAACAAAUUCAGAAACCGACUAUUGAUUAUUUCUACUCAUACUAACUCAUCUGUUUGAUACUGUCUAAACUUGGAACGGAUGUUUUCUGAACAUUUCCAGGGGACUCACCUGACGAGCAGCUCUGCUCUCUGCUGCAGAGCCAGAGCCACCUGAUGCGUCCUCUGCAGGGAGUCAGCGUGGAGCAGCGCCUGAGGAGGAGACGAUUGAGAGAAUACAGACAGACCAGGUGUGAACACGUCAUUAUCUUUAAUCUGUAAGGACAUGUUAUGUUUGUGUGUGGACAAAGUCCUCAUCAACGUCCCGCUGCUGUAUGUGCAGUUACCUCUAUUGCCUGCUGGAGGCGCUCGUGUUCCCUCUGCAGCUGCUCGGCUUCAGAUAAACAGCUGGAGUUCAACAUGCAGGACGACAACAUGACCUCGCCCUCCGAGAUCCAACCGAGCACCUGAGACACAGACAGGUACAGAUCAUCAUGUACAGGGGGGCAGAUGUCUGUGUGUGUGUGUGUGUGUGUGUGUGUGUGUGUGUGUGUGUGUGAGUGUGAGUGAGUGUGUGUUACCUGUUUGACCUGGCUCUGCAGGUGUCUCAGCUGCAGGUUCUGCUCCAGGUGUGUGUGUGUGUGAUCUGCGAUCUGCUGUAGCUCCUUCUGUUUGUCCUGCAGGUGGCGCUGCAGCUCCUCCACCUGAGAGGAGAGGCCCCCCUCGGCCUCCGACAGCUCGAUACCUUAAAACACACACACGUUCAAAGUGUGUUGGGUCCUCACAAGUGCAUCAAAAGCAGCAGUGUAUGUGUGUGUUUUCCUGUUCAUUCAUGUGAAUAUGAUUGCAGAGAUACUGUAUGCUGCUUGUGUGUGUGUGUGUGUGUGUGUGUGUGUGUGUGUCUCCAUGGCAAAUUCAAUACGCUGGUUUCCACGGAGACCAUCUGUGUGCUUCAGAGACCAGUUUCCAUGGUAACCCCAUCCCCCCUUUUCCCCCUCCCCUCAUUAUUCUCUCUUCCCCCUUUCCCCCAAAUAUCAUCAAUGUGGUCAAACUGAAGCUGCUUUCUGCAUUCUAUUAGAUUCUGUUCUGUUCUGUUCUAUGAGUAGAGGAGAUUAUAAUAUAAUCAAUAUGGUAUCAUAGUAGCCUUUUUUCCUGUUCAUACCAUCAAGAACCCCUGGAAAACCCUCAAGGAAAUCCAAAAAACCCUCAAGCACUGCUCCCAGACCCACAAGCUGUUCAGAUGACUAGUAGCAAGGAAUUCAAGGACCACAUGGACCUUUUAAUGAAUCUCUCAGCCCAAACAAAUUCACUAAUGAAACGAACACUUUCACCUAGAACAAGAGAAAAACCCCUAACGCCCCAAAGACCACUGAGGCACUAUCACACAUCUGUGGAAAUUCAUCAGAAGCAUCUGGACGCCAUAUUCAAAGGACAAGGAGCUCUGAAACACACAUGUAAGACAAUGUGGUCCCCUUCUCUCUUCUUGUGGUGUACGCCAAGACUCAAUCAUAGGUCCCCAUACUUUUCUGUGUAUUUUAGCUGAUUAACUUUUAUUAUUCAAAAAACAUGGAGGUUUGUCUCUGACCUGAUGUUUGGACCUCGGUGAUGUACUGCUGAAGGUCGUGACCUUGCUGGAUGACCUCAUAGAUCAUGUUGUUCAUAGCCAGCCUGCGCUCCAUGUGCCUGCAGAUCAGUUAAUCAGUCAGUCCAUCAACUCCUGCGAUGACCUUUUAUUAAUGCGUCAUUUUCAUGCUGAGCGAUGAUGAUGUCAUCACACCGGCCAGGUUACCUGUGGAUGCGCUGCUGCGCUAGUGUUAGCGCCUCGGGGCUGGCCUCCACUAAUCGUGAUUGGCCCAGGGCUAGCUUGUCCUGGUUUACGUCGGCUAGCCGCGUUGAUGCUUGCUUUUCAGUGGAGAAGUCCUGGGACUGUUUCUGGAGGUCCUGCUUCCAGGCGUCUAUUUCCCCGGUCACCUACAGACACGCACAGACGCAGUUCAACCUUGAUCCACUGCCGAGGAAGGAAGUUCAAGAAAUGUUUUUGAUACUAUUUGUAAAUUAAGAACCGAACUGUACCUCCAGCGUGCACUGCUGUAGGAUACGGAGCUGCAAGUAAACAUCCAGUCGGAUCUUCCUCUGGUGGAAAAGCUCCUCGAGUUGAACGUGAGACUCCUCCAGCUGCUGCAGCACUGACUCCACAUGGGCCACUGAGCUGCCCUGGGGCCUGAAACAAACACACCCGCACAAAAAACAAAACUGAAAAUAAAAAACAAACUAUAAAUAAAUACAAAUAAAAAGGUACCCACCCACACAGUCUCUACUAUCCGGAAAACAAAUGCUCCUUUACAAGUUAUACGAACUAGAAAACAAACCCACAAAUUAUACAAAGGAGAAAAAUAUACAACACAGUCAUUUUAUACAAAACGGAAAACCACUGCACCCACAAUCAUUGCAAACUCCAACUCCACAGGCUUCUGAGCUGCCAUGAUCAGUGAAUCAAGCGCACCCACGAAGGCUUUACAAAGCUAGAAACAAACGCACCCAGUGCA
ensembl:lncRNA